CAGCCUCCGGAGUAGCUGGGACUACAGGCGCCCGCCACCACGCCUGGCCAAUUUUUUUGUAUUUUUUUAGUAGAGACGGGGUUUCACCGUGUUAGCCAGGAUAGUCUUGAUCUUCUGACCUCGUGAGCCGCCUGUCUCAGCCUCCCAAAGGGCUGGGAUUACAGGCGUGAGCCACCGCGCCCGGCCGAUUUACCACUCUUGAUGUUCACCACCUGGCUGAGUCUGGAAUCAUUUCUUCAUAAUGACAUUUUCUCCUUUUAUUGGAGAAUGUUAGAAACCAAGAUCAAGAGCUUGAUGUGCUUGUUGAUACUGGAGUGUCAUUGAUUCUUGGCCCUGUCAACUGACCAGAUCAAGGAACUACAUGUGUAUAAGCUAAGGCACACCCACAUAAGGAUAGCACUAUAGCUACAAAUUCUCCAUUACCUGAAGAUAUAGGCUUUCAGCCGGGUGCAGUGGCUCACGCCUGUAAUCCCAGCCCUU
rnacentral:lncRNA from 1 species